GCCUCAGCAUCCCUGCGGGUGCACCUGGUCGGGUCACAGCCCCUAGUUAGCACGGACUCAUUACCAGGGCCUGUGCAGGGCACGUCCCGCAGGAGCUCUAUGGGAGGCGUAAGCGCCCGUCUCUGGGGCUCCUCCGCCUGGGAGCACGUCACGUACUCUAGAGAAGCAGUUGGAGACACCUUCUGCAUUCCACACAGGUGCCUCACGCGGUUGGCCCGCGUGAGCAAAUGGAGAAACUGAGUCACGGGGCUGGCAAGUAGUUCUGCAGAAGCUGCGAGGCUGAGUCAGGCCGGGCGCCGGGAACCUGCGGGCCUCACGUGAGGGGUACGCCCAGGGCCAGUUGUGGAACCCUCUGAGCCCAGGCACAGAAGUUCCAGGACCUUCCGUAAGCGGCAGGCAACGCAGCCAAAUUGACGCUCCCGUACGACGGUGAGCAGCUACCGGCCUUCUCUCUUGGCUGUUGGCCUCCUGACCCACGGAGGGUCUGCAGGCUGUCCGGGUUGAGCCCCCUCAGCAGGGCAAAAGGCUGCCCCUGGGGAUGUCUCUGGCUGGAAAGGGGGAACCGAGGCAGCAGCAGACCUGCCCCGCCCCCCACACUGCAGAACAGCCUCGGGGAAACUGCUAAUGAGGUCCAGGGUGAGCCCUCUGGCAGGCGAAAUGGGCAAUAUUGCUUCUCAUUAUAUUCUAAUUAGAUGUUUAAACUAAAAAUCACCUGCAAACUUAAAGUAGUCAUUCCAAAAGUGUUUAAGAUACACACAAAGGUGUGUAAGUUGCACUUCAGUGUGUAGAGUAUGAAGCUAGUCUGUAAAAGCAAAAUAAAUUACACAUUAAUAUUUGUAAAAGAAGUAAUCUGGAAGCAUAUACCUAAACUGUUAACAGAGCCUGUCACCAGAGAAGAACUUGCAAUAUUAAAUGUAAAUGUUUAUGAAAAAGUUUGCUGGUGGUGGUAGCUGUUGUUUGUUUGUUUUGGUUUUGUCUCUUACAAGGAGCAUGAAUUACUUUUCCAAUUGGAAAAAAAAUACAGGCAAAAUGGUU